UGGUGGAGUGAUUUGUCUGGUUAAUUCCGUUAACGAACGAGACCUCGAUCUGCUAAAUAGACAUAUAGAUUCUUUGAAUCUACUAUGUGCUUCUUAGAGAGACUAUCGGUUAGUAGCCGAAGGAAGUUCGAGGCAAUAACA
rnacentral:rRNA from 1 species